AGCCCCCUGAUAUACAUAACAUAGGGGGUGUAGCCUGCCCAGUGGAAAACCAUUUCUAAACGGCCGCGGUAUCUUGACCGUGCAAAGGUAGCAUAAUCACUUGUCUCUUAAAUGGGGACCUGUAUGAACGGCUUCACAUUCUUAAACUGUCUCCCUUUCUCACCUCAUAAACUUCUAUACACGUGAAGAAGCGUGUAAAAUUUAGAAAGACGAGAAGACCCUGUCGAGCUUUAGUCAACCUCAAAACAACUUAAACUCUUUAAGAAAAGUAGAUUUUUAGAGCUAGACUUUGGUUGGGGCAACCAUGGAGAAAAACAAUCCUCCAGUUCACUAGGCAGAAACCUCUUCACCUAAAAAUUUUUUAGAACCAGUCAUUCUGGAAAACGGAAAAAGUUACCGCAGGGAUAACAGCGUUAUCUCCUCUAAGAGCUCAUAUUGACGAGGAGGUUUGCGACCUCGAUGUUGGAUUGGGGUAACCUAAGGGUGCAGCAGCUCUUAAGGGUCGGACUGUUCGUCCGUUAAUUCCCUACAUGAUCUGAGUUCAGACCGACGUGAGUCAGGUCAGCUUCUAUCUUCUUUGAACCCUCCCUAGUACGAAAGGACCGGGAGAGUACCUUAAAUGAUUUUCAUCAAAAGGUAAACAAUAACAACAAAAACCUUUCUUAUAAAAAACAAGCUUUAGCUAUUACGAUGAAGAAAUUCCCACCCUUAAGAUUCACACCUUAAAAGGAAAACCAAACUUUACACAAGGGGUCCCCCUUACAAAAAUUUUUAAAUCCCUAACAACUAAGAAAC
rnacentral:rRNA from 1 species